rnacentral:rRNA from 1 species
UGAGGAAUAUUGGGCAAUGCCCGCAAGGGUGACCCAGCAACGCCGCGUGGAGGAUGAAUGUCGUAAGAUUGUAAACUCCUGUUAGAGGGGAAGAAUAGUACCGGUUGGACCGGUAUAUGACUGUACCCUCAGAGAAAGCCCCGGCUAACUACGUGCCAGCAGCCGCGGUAAUACGUAGGGGGCAAGAGUUGUCCGGAUUUACUGGGUGUAAAGGGCGCGCAGGCGGGAUAAAAAGUCAGUGGUGAAAUCCUACAGCUUAACUGUAGAACUGCCUUUGAUACUUUUAUUCUUGAGUUCGGGAGAGAGAGACGGAAUUCCAGGUGUAGUGGUGAAAUACGUAGAUAUCUGGAAGAACACCAGUUGCGAAGGCGGUCUCUUGGUCCGACACUGACGCUGAGGCGCGAAAGCGUGGGGAGCAAACA